CAGGCUAUAGUGAACAUGAAACACAUCUCCAGCUGCUGCCUGUUUGCGUGCGCACGUCAGAUCUGACGUCCAGUUUCUCGUGAUGCCAACGUCAUCACGCUGCCAGCUGAUCGGAGUAGGAAGCCGGGUGUGCGUGUGGACUGGGUGUGUGUGUGCGGGAGAGAGAGAUAUAUAUAUUAGAGGGAGGGAGGACUGGGACGGGAGUUGUGUAAAAGGAGCUGAAGUCCUGCGCUGUCUCCUCCAUUGCUGCGGCGAUUCAACAGACUCCAGAGACACAAAAUCUGGUCUUCUCUCUCUCUCUCUCUCUCUCUCUCUCUCUCUCUCUCUCUCUCUCUCUCUCUCUCUCUCUCUCUCUCUCUCUCUCUCUCUCUCUCUCUCUCUCUCUCUCUCUCCUCUCCGGUGGGGACGUUUAAGAAAUCCGCAGACACCGACACACCCUGCGAAGCUCCGGGGACUCCGCCGCGCUGUGGGCGAGGCUGACUGCUGAGCUCCGGUGGAGCGAUCAGGGGAACUGGAGCGACCCGAGCGGUGGCCAAGAAUUGUGCACACCUAAAUCAUAAGAGGAAAUCACCGUUCGUGCCGUCAGCGAGACCGUGCCUCACUCCAGGCUGUCUGGGUUAAAUUGUGCUCCCUCUCUUGCGGCCCCAAAUGGCUGACUCACAGCAGUUCUUCACUGGCAAGCUUUAUGUUCCUGUACACAUGCUAAAGCUGCCAGCUGAAGAACUGCUCUGGUCUGCCCUGCCCUGCGUGACUCAGGACGAAGAGGAAGUCUGGUGGUGGGAGUCAGACAUGGCUCUUACUGUUUUAACUCGUGUGUUAAUUGUUCUUUUAUGUGUUUUCAUAAUCAAAUGUUUCUUUCAUGUACAUGCAAAGCUUGCAUAUUUGUUUCUCUCCUUACAAUAAAGAACAAAAUGUUCCCCCAGAA